AUUGAACGCUGGCGGCAUGCUUUACACAUGCAAGUCGAACGGUAACAGGCCUUCGGGCGCUGACGAGUGGCGAACGGGUGAGUAAUGCAUCGGAACGUGCCCAGUCGUGGGGGAUAACGCAGCGAAAGCUGUGCUAAUACCGCAUACGAUCUGUGGAUGAAAGCGGGGGACCUUCGGGCCUCGCGCGAUUGGAGCGGCCGAUGUCCGAUUGGGUAGUUGGUGGGGUAAAGGACCACCAAGCAAACGAUCUGUAGCUGGUCUGAGAGGACGACCAGCCAGAAUAGGACUGGGGCCCGGCCCAGACUCGUACGGGAGGCAGCAGUGGGGAAGUUUGGACAAUGGGCGCAAGCCUGAUCCAGCAACGCCGCGUGCAGGAAGGAGGCCUUCGGGUUGUAAACUGCUUUUGUACGGAGCGAAAAGGCUCUCUCUAAUACAGUGGGCUAAUGACGGUACCGUAAGAAUAAGCACCGGCUAACUACGUGCCAGCAGCCGCGGUAACAC
rnacentral:rRNA from 1 species